AGUAUUAACAGAGCAGUAUUAACAGUAUUAACAUAUCAGUAUUAACAGUACUAACAGUUGUGCUGACCCCGCGGCUCGAGGAGACUGGGGGCGGGUCCCCUGCUCAUGUGUUGGAGGUCGUGGGAGGAGCCAGUGGCUCAUCACGGAGAGGUGGAAGCACCCGUGUCAUGCGUACUCAGAAGCUGCCAUUUUGAAUGACCGCAGUCUUCAAGCCCUCGACCCCAGUGCACUCGCUUUCCGUUGUGCAGGAUGCUCAACUUCCCGUUCUUUGUUCCAUUACCCUGCUUUGUCGACUCUACACCACUGGAUAACAUAUAUCCAUCAUCCACUUACUGUGUUACUGAUGCUGCUGAUCUACACAUGUCAUUACUUCAAUUUAGUGGUCGUCCUUCAUUCAAUUAUGUUAAGUUUACUCUUUCAAUCAUCACCCUCUGCAAUAGUUUGUUACAGCCUAGAGCCGUGUCUAAACACAGUAUUAAGAGAGAACAGUAUCAACAGUAUUAACAAGGAACAGUAUCAACAGUAUUAACAGAACAGUAUCAACAGUAUUAACAAUAUUAACAGAGAACAGUAUCAAUAGUAUUAACAGAACAGUAUUAACAGAACAGUGUCAACAGUAUUAACAAAGAACAUUAUCAACAGUAUCAACAGUGAGAAGAAUUAACAGAGAACUGUAUCAACGAGAUUAACAGAACAGUAUCAACAGUGUUAACAGAGAAAAGUAUCAUCAGAGAACCGCAUGAACAGUGUUAACAUUAUUAACAAAAUGAUUAGAAGUCAGUAUCAACAUUAUUACCAAUGAACAGUGUGAACGGCUUUAACAGUGUUUACAAUAGUAACAGUAUUAAAAGAGAAAAGUAUCAAAAGUAUUAAUAGAGAACAGUAUUAGCUGCAUUAACAGCGUUAACAUUAUUAACAGUAGUAGCAAUUAACAGUAUUAAGAGUAUUUGCUAAUCAACAGUCAUACAGUGCAGUAUUAAUAUUGGUUGAUUAUGGUUGAGUUGAACCUUUAAUCUCUAAUUAUAUAUACUUCCUGUAUGUUGGCUCAGCUCUAAGUUAUGUCUCUGCUCAUGUACAUUUUAAUAAGUUCCUCAUUCACGCAUCUCUACUCAAGGCGUAGAGGAACUUCAUAUCAAGUCCUUCACCUCUAUCACAUAAGUCAACCCUAUGCCUGGUUGAUAGAACAAAGGAACAUAAUUACAUUUACGUGUAUUGAUAUAUAUUAUUUUUAGUUUUAUUCAAGCAAUACCUGUUUUUGUUAAUGUAAGGGACCGGGUGAUAUCUUUUGUUUUCCUGUUUAUAUCUCUGUCUAAACUUCUCAAUAGUUGAACAAGUCCAAUUAAAUGUUAACUUUUAACAUCACAUGAGCAUGGUUAUUAUCAUUGUUCUACUUUGAAUAUUGGUAUUAUAUGAUUGGAAAUUAGUUUAAUCAGUCAUGGUAAAAGUGGAAGAUUUACUGGUAUUUUGAAAAUACAUUUCUUUAGCAGUUUAGAAUGUCUUACUAUAAUUAGUCUAGUACUGAAUACCUAGUGUAGUACGAUAUUAAGUGUAGCACAGAAGUUAAUGAGAUUUUUGUAUUUCUCCUGAUGAAGUUCUGGAGGAGAACAUGACUGGAUCCUGGAGACAUGCUCUGUAGUCUCCUGCAAGGUAAACAUCUCAACCCUCUCUGAUGUUACCUUUAAUAGGUACUAUAUUAAUACCUGUAGCACUGAAGUUCUCUCUGUAGUACACUCUCUAAUAUCUUUGAUACUCUAUUUUUACCCUCUGUAGUAUAGUUAAUAUAUCUAUCUAUGGUCCCAUGCCUCGUCCGCGGUGCUGGCCAAUGGAGUCGAACGUCACCACUGGCGGCCAUCUUACCACAGUAAGCUGAUCACCAAUAACAUUGUGUGUUGGUAGUGAUUCAUGUACUUUUUAAAUAACCAUAACUUACUAAAUUUUCAACCGAUUUUGAAACGGUAUGACAGUACAUAUGUAUGAACAAUUGUUUGGUUCUUAGAACAAUAGAAUAAUGUUCUAAAAUAGGUAUGAUUUCCCUUUACAAAUAUACAUCAAGAAAGGCUGCAAGUUGAAAUCCCCACCCUGUACAGAGAUGUAUGUAAUUAUAUAUAACCAUGUGUUUUCAUAUGAAAUGAACAUUAAACAGAACAGAUAGGUGCAAUAAAUACACACAUGCACAAGGUAUUCAUGUUAUUUAUGUUAAAUCAAUAUAUGGUCUACUAAAACUCAGAAAAAGCAAAAGUUUGUAAGAAACCAAACCGUUUGUAAAUCAGUCAAGUUUUCAGAGAGAUAAGAGUAUUAGCAUUUGUGCAGAUCACUGAUUAACGUCCGCUACAACAGAUUCCACCAGAAGCUUUACUGUGGUAAAAUGGCGGCCUAUGGUGACGUUCUAGACGCCGCCGUAGGGCAUCUAGUUAAUAUACAUCUAUGGUGCCAGCGGCCCGAAUUACUGCCGCGGCCCACAUAAGUGGACCGGCCCACCGGGAAACCUCCCGAUCGUCACUCAGUUAAUAAUCGUUAUUAACCAGCGGUCUAUGGCGGAACUAGAUUAAAAUGUGUGUUGUCAAUCAUCGGCAUCUGUUUAAUGCUGUUGGCACCAGUGCCAGCGCAGCACGGGCGGUCUGGACGGGCAGAAGGAGCCCACCGUACAGUUCAGGGAGACGGGCUGUCCCUCGGUGACGGAAACCGGCCCGCUGAUGACGGGGGACUCAGGGCGUUCUGUUGAAGGGGGACACCAUCUUUGUUUACACAGAAGUUAAAAAAAGGAAUGCCUUCAUGUGAUUAAAAACGUGUUCAUGUUUGAAUGUGAUGGGUAUUAAUGUCGUCUAGACUCUAGAGUGUAAACAAUGUAAAAUGGAUAAAGGGUUUUGUAUUUGCUGUCUUUCUAGAGCUAAGGCGGGCCUCACAGGGUCCUUUUAUCUCCACUAUCCUGCUCCGAUUUCUCUGCUGCUGCCGUUAUUUGGAUGACUUAACAUCCAUCCAACAGGAAGCAAGCUGUUCAUAUAGGAGGUUCUCUAUCAGCGACAUUCAAGGUGGACACUGGAGCUCCCAUAGGAUCCAUUCUGGGCCGGCUCCUUUUUUAGCUUACAUAUAAAUGACCUCCCAUCUGCAGGCCCACCUGUCCGUCUCCAAAUGUACCAGGCUGCACACAAGUUCUCUGAAGCAUUGGCCAAUGUGUCCAAAUGGAUUUAGCUCCUAAACAACUUCACAAGUCCAUCGGCCGGAUGUGAUGCGUGAAGAACUUAAGGGUCGGGAACUCGAGUGAGAGUAAAGAGGGAACUGUGUUGUUCCGUUCAGCAGGAGUACUCGGGGACAUUCAGCCUUCUCCUUCGUAGCCGGCUGGGCUGUAACACUGAAACACUUCCUACAAAUGUAAGGACCUACACUUUGAUCAAACAAACAUUGAAACUAUGCAAAGUGUUGACAUUACCAACAUAAUGUACUGUGAUUAUUUUGUUUUAGUCGUUUUAACUGUAAUGUAAUUAUUAUGUUGUCGACAUACCCAGAAAUACAGAUGUAAAUGAGCCUCUUGGCAAACAUAUUGAGAUUUAGGCGCGAACUAAAACUUGGAUUAAUGUGUACUAUCCCCGUGUAAUAAAAUAAAUAUCAUUUUCCCUUCAACCCACCAGAGACCUCCAGGGUGAAGGCCCUCGGGGUCCCCCAGUACCCCUCCUCCGGGCCCUUCAGGGCGACCUCAAAGGCCCGUGAGUCCUGCAGGCGGACCGGGUCCAGUCUCAGCGAGCAGUCCCCCUCUGAGAUCCGCCCGUGGAGGGAGGUCCGUCUGAGGUACUCCCCGGCCACGUGACGGGGGUCCUCGCUGUUGAAGGCGGUGCUCCUCGAAGGGAAGCGGCGUCCUCCUGUGAACGUCAGCCGGACCUCCACCCGGCCCCCGCCCCUCCCGAGGGGAGCAGCCAGGGGGGUGAAGGAGCAGGGGACCACCGCACAGGACCCGGCCAGCGCCCGGACUCGACCGGGGACGGACGGGACCGGGGAGGAGCCCCCCGCCGCCGUCCAGGAGAGAGCACCCGCU